rnacentral:rRNA from 1 species
GACGAACGCUGGCGGCGUGCUUAACACAUGCAAGUCGAACGGAAAGGCCCUGCUUUUGUGGGGUGCUCGAGUGGCGAACGGGUGAGUAACACGUGAGUAACCUGCCCUUGACUUUGGGAUAACUUCAGGAAACUGGGGCUAAUACCGGAUAGGAGCUCCUGCUGCAUGGUGGGGGUUGGAAAGUUUCGGCGGUUGGGGAUGGACUCGCGGCUUAUCAGCUUGUUGGUGGGGUAGUGGCUUACCAAGGCUUUGACGGGUAGCCGGCCUGAGAGGGUGACCGGCCACAUUGGGACUGAGAUACGGCCCAGACUCCUACGGGAGGCAGCAGUGGGGAAUAUUGCACAAUGGGAGGAAGCCUGAUGCAGAAACGCUGCGUGCGGGAUGACGGCCUUCGGGUUGUAAACCGCUUUCGCCUGUGACGAAGCGUGAGUGACGGUAAUGGGUAAAGAAGCACCGGCUAACUACGUG